CCUACGGGAGGCAGCAGUGGGGAAUUUUGGACAAUGGGCGAAAGCCUGAUCCAGCAAUGCCGCGUGAGUGAAGAAGGCCUUCGGGUUGUAAAGCUCUUUUGUCAGGGAAGAAACGGUGAAAGCUAAUAUCUUUUGCUAAUGACGGUACCUGAAGAAUAAGCACCGGCUAACUACGUGCCAGCAGCCGCGGUAAUACGUAGGGUGCAAGCGUUAAUCGGAAUUACUGGGCGUAAAGCGUGCGCAGGCGGUUUUGUAAGUCUGAUGUGAAAUCCCCGGGCUCAACCUGGGAAUUGCAUUGGAGACUGCAAGGCUAGAAUCUGGCAGAGGGGGGUAGAAUUCCACGUGUAGCAGUGAAAUGCGUAGAUAUGUGGAGGAACACCGAUGGCGAAGGCAGCCCCCUGGGUCAAGAUUGACGCUCAUGCACGAAAGCGUGGGGAGCAAACAGGAUUAGAUACCCUGGUAGUCCACGCCCUAAACGAUGUCUACUAGUUGUCGGGUCUUAAUUGACUUGGUAACGCAGCUAACGCGUGAAGUAGACCGCCUGGGGAUACGGUCGCAAGAUUAAAACUCAAAUGAAUUGACGG
rnacentral:rRNA from 1 species